GGUAAAUUGCUUGGGAAAAAACAAAAACAGGAACAAGAAAAAAGAGAAGGGAGCUGGGCAGCAAAGGUAAGGUAAACAACAAAAACAAGUGAAGCAAGAAAAACGCCUAGAACAGACACAAGCCUAUUGAUAAGUUAAAAAGAAGAAAGAAGGGUAUCCUAUUGGUUUUCCAAAUCUGAUCUCAACAAUAGUCUGCUCAGGAAGGGCGACAUAGCCGCAAGUAAUCCCUUGGGGCACUCUUCCUCGUGUGGAAGAUGGCUACAUUCGGAUAUGGCAGCCAAUCUUGUUAACAAUGGCAGUGUGGUCUUGCAGC
rnacentral:misc_RNA from 1 species